rnacentral:misc_RNA from 1 species
AAAAUGCGAUACGUAAUGCGAAUUGCAGAAUUCAGUGAAUCAUCAAAUCUUUGAACGCAAAUUGCGCUCUCGGGAUAGGCCUGGGAGCACGCCUCUUUGAGUAUCGAUUCCAACACAACUCGCAAGCGCGCUUGUUGCAAAACGAGUGCGAUCUGCGGAAACUGAGCAAUCUCGCUGUUUUGCGAGAUGCUUUAAAUGCAGCGAGUGGCAUGAGUUGCUGAUCGACAGCGGACUCAGUCUCUGGUGACGAGGAUAACUUCACAUUCAGUUGUGAACCCUUCCAUCGUGACUAUUGAGGCAAGGAAAGCAGUCGGUUGGCACUCAAAAUGCCACGGCACUCUCGGAUCGACUUCGCGAAAAGCGAGGCUGGUUCCGAGAACUACUUUGAACUAGAUCUCAA